rnacentral:rRNA from 1 species
UACGUAGGGUGCGAGCGUUGUCCGGAAUUAUUGGGCGUAAAGAGCUCGUAGGCGGUCUGUCGCGUCGGCUGUGAAAACUCGGGGCUCAACCCCGAGCCUGCAGUCGAUACGGGCAGACUAGAGUGCUGUAGGGGAGACUGGAAUUCCUGGUGUAGCGGUGAAAUGCGCAGAUAUCAGGAGGAACACCGGUGGCGAAGGCGGGUCUCUGGGCAGUAACUGACGCUGAGGAGCGAAAGCGUGGGGAGC